AGUGAACGCUGGCGGUAGGCCUAACACAUGCAAGUCGAACGGCAGCACAGGAGAGCUUGCUCUCUGAGUGGCGAGUGGCGGACGGGUGAGGAAUACAUCGGAAUCUACUCUGUCGUGGGGGAUAACGUAGGGAAACUUACGUUAAUACCGCAUACGACCCACGGGUGAAAGCAGGGGAUGUUCGGGCCGUGCUCGAUUGAAUGAGCCGAUGUCGGAUUAGCUAGUUGGCGGGGUAAAGGCCCACCAAGGCGACGAUCCGUAGAUGGUCUGAGAGGAUGAUCAGCCACACUGGAACUGAGACACGGUCCAGACUCCUACGGGAGGCAGCAGUGGGGAAUAUUGGACAAUGGGCGCAAGCCUGAUCCAGCCAUACCGCGUGGGUGAAGAAGGCCUUCGGGUUGUAAAGCCCUUUUGUUGGGAAAGAAAUCCAGCUGGCUAAUACCCGGUUGGGAUGACGGUACCCAAAGAAUAAGCACCGGCUAACUUCGUGCCAGCCGCCGCAGUAA
rnacentral:rRNA from 1 species